AACGAACGCUGGCGGCAUGCCUAACACAUGCGAGUCGAACGAGAUCUUCGGGUCUAGUGGCGCACGGGUGCAUAACGCGUGGGAAUCUGCCCUUUGGUUCGGAAUAACAGUUGGAAACGACUGCUAAUACCGGAUGAUGACGAAAGUCCAAAGAUUUAUCGCCAGAGGAUGAGCCCGCGUAGGAUUAGCUAGUUGGUGUGGUAAAGGCGCACCAAGGCGACGAUCCUUAGCUGGUCUGAGAGGAUGAUCAGCCACACUGGGACUGAGACACGGCCCAGACUCCUACGGGAGGCAGCAGUGGGGAAUAUUGGACACUGGGCGAAAGCCUGAUCCAGCAAUGCCGCGUGAGUGAUGAAGGCCUUAGGGUUGUAAAGCUCUUUUACCCGGGAUGAUAAUGACGGUACCGGAAGAAUAAGGACCGGCUAACUACGUGCCAGCAGCCGCCGUAA
rnacentral:rRNA from 1 species